rnacentral:lncRNA from 1 species
GCCACCUACCGCCUCUGCCUCCCGACUGGAUGGAGUUGCCUUUCCUGUAGCCAUCGCCGGUAGACUCCAGAGCCCUGUGGUGUUGGCACUGCCUCCUAUCUAGGGAGCAUCCCAGACCCAGCCUGGGGCUCUGACUCAGCUCUGACUCAGGCCCAGGCCUCAUGACUCCAGACUCCUUCUGCUGCUUCCUGCAUGGCUGGUCUGGAUGCACGUUCAGUGUGUGUGGAAAAUGCGGUGAUGGCCACUUGAACACACCGAGGUCAGCAGCCUGCAGGGCCCCCUGGGGACCCUACAGUCCGGUACUGGGCUUUGGUCCUAACUCUCCUCAGCCACCGGAGGGCACCCCGAAGAUCCACUUAGGAAUCGGCUUUUGCCAUUCACCACUGAGCAUCUCAAGGAAGAGAAUUUGAGGGUCAGGUUCUUCAGUACUUCUCCUUUCUGGGCAGCUGCAGACAGCAAUGGAGAACAAAAGUAGAAUCCAGUCUUGGUGCGUAUAAAAGCUUCUUUUCAGGUGUCUCAGAGGAGCAUCUCCUUAGUAGGAGAGAGAACGCUGACCUAAGGAGCUGGCGUGGUGCUUUGGCUGCAACAGUGCACCGUGACUGAGGGAAGCCCAUCAAACCCUAAGGAGAUUUGGCUCACCUUUUGCAUUUCAACUGACCAAAUCAGUCCUUUGAGGGAGAGGGGAUGGAAACGGGUUUUUGAAUUACAUUAGCUACCUCUAGCAUUUGCUCCUCAGAAUUACCUGGUGACAGCGCAGUGCCACAGCGUGCAUCAGGAUGUCCAGAGAGGCCUGGCACCCAGCGUGCCACUGCUCAGGGUGGCAGAGCCUUUAGGAGUCACAGGGCAGGAGCCCUCAGAGGGCUGUGGGUCCGGUCCUCCCUCUCACUGGGCCUCCUGGCCCCAGCACCCUGACUGCUUGGCUGGGAGACACUGGUUUGUGCCCCUGUGAUGUGUACAUCACAUGACCAAAUGCACCAGAGCUGGGCCACACAUGGGAUUUGUGAACAGAUCAGAUGGCAUUGGAAGCUCCCAGAAACAGCAAACCUCCAAGUACUUUGCAAAGGGCUCACGCUAUGCAAUCAGUCCGAGGCUGGUGGAACAGUGCAGCGCUGCAGUCCUGUGCUGAAUGUGCUAAGUGGUCAGCAGGCCAUGCAGGGCGCCCGAGGCUUCCCCCACCUGCAGCUCUGCUCCACCAGGCCCUGCCACCGUGAAGACUGCGCUGGAGCCAGUGGGCUGUGGACGGGACCCUCUGAAACUGUGAGCACAAGAACCCUCUCCUUGCAGGGUGGUGUCACUUCUGGUCCCAUGGCACAAACCCUGACCAGUACACGGGUGACUGAAAUGUCCCAGGUGCUGCUUAAAAACUCCAAGUACAUUUCAUGGGGAAACCAUGCAGCACAAGUGUUUUGUUUCGAGGAGAUUGAAGGGCGGGAGGAGAAGUGGACCGAGCGGGCUGACUGUCCAGUGCAGACAGGAGAAAUUGGCCCGGACAGGCCACGGCCAGGGCUCUGCUUCCUGCUCUCUGCUUACCAAGGGCAGGAGGAGACAGGCGCAUGCUGACAGCAGGACUCAGUAGGGCAGCGAGGCUCCCCUUUGAAGGAGGAGAAAGCGGGCCACAGAAGCCCAGUCAGGAAGUGCCUGGCUCUCAUCACUGGCACCUGAGCCACCCGUUGGCUUGCUUCUUCCAAAAGCUCCAGUGUUCAGGGCCCAGCUCCUCACUGGGGCGAGAUGGGAAUGGAGGUGCCUGUGUGGGUCAGAGCUGCUGCUACCCCGGGCUGGUGCUGGGUGGCUUCUUGUGAGCCCAGGCUGUGGCUCCAGGCCCUCCCUUACCAACCUCCCUCCCUCAGACUCUUGGCCGCUCUUUGGGAUCUUUCUCCGGCCCUGCCCCGCGUGUGUCCGAUCACCAUCAGAGUCCUCCUCUACUCCACGCCAGCCCCUGCCCGUCCUCUUUCCCACGUGGGGGAGCAGUGGAGGCUGCGUCAGCCAGAGUCAGGGCCCGGGAGGCCAAUCGCUGGGCAGCAGGGGAGACAGUGGAAAAUGGAAAAUGUCAGGGACGGAGCUGUAAUGUGAAGUGAAAUCUACCCGACACACACACGUGAACAUCACAGUUUCUCUUACACGAGAAACCCACAGUGUGACCAAAGAGCACAAUAAAAGACAGAUGAUCAGAAUCAGGGAGAUGGAACUUUUGCAAAAGGGAAGGCACAUAAAGAAGUUAAUGUAUGUCAUGUGCCUGUGCCAGCACCCCAAGAUGAGUGUAAUUACGAUGCGCUGCAAACAUGUUCCAGUCAAAGGAAAAAUUACAGCAGGGAAGCUCAGACCCACCGGAGACCACAGUGCAGCAUAGUGAGUGCCCAAAGCGUAGCUGAAACCAGUUGGGGACCUUGGGUGGCCAGGGUCCUCUUCCCACAGCACCGCCCAUGGGUGCCCUUGAUUUCUUUGCUCUGCUUCCUGACCUUUCCAUUAGCUCUUGAUUACUUGAAAACUCGCUUCUCAUUUGCCUAACACAGGGCGUUCGCCCUUCUGUUGCCUUCCUGAUGGGGCAGGACAUCCCCACUGGGACCCUGCAGGGCUGUGUGGCAUCUCUCCGAGGUUCCCUCUUUAAAACAUGUCAGGAACGUCUAACCGGAGGCCAGCGUGGACACACAGCGUGGACACCGUGCGGCACAGGCCGCAGCGGCCCCU